GACGAACGCUGGCGGCGUGCUUAACACAUGCAAGUCGAACGAGUGGCGAACGGGUGAGUAAUACGUGGGAACCUGCCUGAUGGAGGGGGAUAACUACUGGAAACGGUAGCCAAUACCGCAUACCAUCAGAUGUGCCCAGAUGGGUUUAGCUUGUGGGGGGGGUAACGGCUAACCAAGGCGACGAUCCCUUGCUGGUCUGAGAGGAGGACCAGCCACACUGGAACGAAGACACGGUCCAGGCGCCUACGUGAGGCAGCAGUGGGGAAUAUUGGACAAUGGGCGCAAGCCUGAUGCAGCCAUGCCGCGUGUAGGAAGAGGGCCUUCGGGUUGUAAAGUACUUUCAGCGGGGAGGCGUUACCCGCAGAAGAAGCACCGGCUAACUCCGUGCCAGCAGCCGCGGUAAUUC
rnacentral:rRNA from 1 species